GACAAAAAGAACAAGACCCAAUUUCACACCAGAAUUUAGACUUGAAUGUGCUCAAUUAGUUGUUGAUAAAAACUACUCUGUCCUUGAGGCCGCUCAAGCGAUGGAUGUGGG
rnacentral:sRNA from 1 species